rnacentral:lncRNA from 1 species
AUGGGCAGAGCGGCCUUGGUGGGCGCCGGGGCUUCGCCGUCGUGCCGGGGGCUCUCCAUUGUGGGCGAGGUGCUGGAAUUGGUCUUGGUGGUGGCGAAGUCCUCGGUCUGCACCACGGCAUCGCUGGUUUUCCUGGGGCCGGGGGGCGGCUCCUCGGCGGCGCUGAGCAGCGGCAGCGCGGUGGAGGGCAGCGUGCUCUGCAGGAUGUGCGGGAUGUCCUCAUCGCGGAUGCGUCGCCACGUGCCCUUCAUCAUCGCCAUCGGCGGCUUCUCCUCCGUCGCCUCACCGGGUUUCCGCCGCCGCGCCGACGCCUCGGAGCAAGCGGAGAGGACGGAGGACGGGCUGCCGGUGCGGCGCGGCACGCUGAUGUUGGGCGAUGAGGAGUACCGCUUGAAGGGCUCUGGGACGGCCGUCUUCACCGGCAGCCGGGAUGGGCUCUCGGAGCUGGUCCUGCGCGGGGGCUUGGAUGCGGCGGGGCCUUUGCAGCCGGGCUGCGCCCUGGGGACGAGCGGACGCGGUGCGGGCGCUGCUGGUUUGGCCGCCUUCAGCUCCUCGCAGCGGGACGAGCAGAGGAAGACGGUGGGGAGGGCGGCCCGGCUGCGCUGCGGGGACGCACCGCGAGGCAGCGAGGUGGCCGGGGCGGCCGGGGCGAGCUCGGCGCGGUGCCGCAGCAGCAGGCUGGAGGACUCCUUGAUGAAGGUGAGCUGCCGCAGGAAACCCGAGCGGUCCGAGUCGCUGCCGCUGGAGCGAGUGGAUGACAUCCGCACCAGGUUGAGCCGGCUGCUCCCUGCCCCCCCCGGCGUGCUGCCCUUCGACUUGCCGCUGCCCUCCUGCUCCUCCAGCACCGGCAUGGCCGCGCGCACCGGCAGCACCUUCCUGCUGGGCUUCUGCAUGAAGGGGAUGCGGACGGGUGACUUCUGCGUCUUGUGCUGCCGUGGGGCCGGGGACCUGGGGGCCGCGGGCUUGGCCGAGGGGCCGGGCGGUGACGGGGGGCUGGUCGCCUUGCCCGUCUGCACGGGGCUCUGCUUGGAGAGCUGCGAGGGUGACGGCAGCUUCUUGGGCACGUGCUGCGAGGGCGUGGAGGUGCGGGAUGAGCCCGAGGAUGGUGGCCCCUUGGCGAUGCGGGCAGGAGGCGUGGUGCUGCGCUUGGGCAGAGCCAGGUCCCCCCCCUCGGGCGGCUUCCCCAGGCGGUGCAGGCUGCGGGAACGCUGCUGGCUCAGCGACAGAUUCUUGGGCGCCGGGGGUUUGGCCACGGGGGAUUUCUUUGGGGUGGAGCGCGGGCUGGGCGCGUCCUUGGCCAGGCUGGGCAUGUAG